UUUGCACCCGCAGUGAUGCGUGCUUUGCGCAAGAAUAAGACUCUCCACUACGAAGUCCCCAUGUUGUUGCUAAUUGUUGGAGUUUCUUUUGGUGUUCGUGAGUUUUUACAAAUCUGACAUGAUGCAGUGAAGAUUAAAAUUGAUCCUGAGUUGGAAAAAAACUGAAAGCAAAUAGUAUCAUUAGAGUCAGAAUAUGAGAAAAGACUCCACUUUUGAUGACUGGAAGAAUAUCCAAGGACCCAAGCCUUGGAAAGAUCCUGACCUCCUCCAAGAAAGGAAUCCAGAAAUCCUUAAGACUAAGACAACCUGA
rnacentral:lncRNA from 1 species